rnacentral:lncRNA from 1 species
ACCAAAAAAAGUUGACCUUGUAUAUAUGAAGUGUGAUUUUCUGGCGAAGGGGGAUCAUCCCCAAGCUCCGCCAAAGUUUUUGAUCCUGCAAAGGAAAAGCAGGGGUAGAGGGGAGUUACUAGGCAGCUACUGCUAGUUCAGAGCUUUGAAUACACAGAACUGUAUGGGAAAGGCUGGUCUAUUUCAACACCUAAUAUGGAUGCACAAGAGAGCAUAGAAGGAAAUACAUCUAGAUCAGGGACAUCAUAGGUGAUCGCCAAACUAAACAAAUAACAAGUGGUGACAUGAUGCUUCUAGACAUUUAAUACAUAAACAGACACUCAAACAAACUUUGUAAGCACUUCUAGACACCUCAAAUUGGUCUCAACUUUCAACUAAACACUCCAAUUCAUCCCACUGUGCCAUGUAGACACCCAACAAUGAUAUGACAUGUAAAUUUUGGAGGUGUCUAGAUGAUCAUUUUGUUAGUAUGAGAGUUCAACGGACAAAGUGGAGACGAGUUGAGGUGUUCUUGAUGCACAAUACUAAGUUUUGUGCAAGAAUGCCACUGCAAGACAGAAUAUCACCAAAUGCAAGUUCGGUCUGGUUCUUAACUAACUUGCAAUGAUUAGUAUUCUAAAUGAUAUAGGAUAGAUGUUUAGACAAACAUCCAGAGUAUCCAACCAUGACUUUCAUAACAUAGCUGAUGCAGUUAAUUUUAGAUACUAGGACAAUUCAAAAGAACUGAUUAACAAGUUUGCUGCUGCAUGUUAGCUGUAAAACAUUUUAAAAAGAUUUUACAACAAAAGGAGGCGAUGACAGGUUGCCAAAAACUUGGAGAUUUCCGAUGCUUACUAGCUAAUGAUACCUAGCUGCAUCAAGCUGAUCUCUUCCCAUCGGUCUAUCUAAGCUGAGAGGUGCAGAAUUGAAAGAGAUAUUGGGCUUUGUACUGUCUAAUUCGUGCUGCUUAUGCUUCAGUUGCAAUGCCAUAUGCUCAUUCUCCAACAUUAAUUUCUUGUUCUCCAGCCUUUCUAUUUCAAACUCCCUGUCUUUCUUGCGGCAGAACCUUUGCCACUUAACCUGACGUUUCUCCAACUCAAACGCUUCAGCUUGGAUGCCAAUCUUUUCCUCUUCCAGUUGUAACAUCCGUUUCUUAAUCCACAUUUUUUGAUCCCACUGGGAUUUUGUAGGGUCUUGAAAAAAUUCAUUAAUUUCAGCCAAAAAAUUAUCAUUCCCGUUAAUUUGUGGCAAGAAGCUGCCAUUUUCUUCAACUCGUCUCAUUCUCUCAUCAAAAUCUCCAAUUUUACGUGCAUCACCAUCACCAUGGUUAUCAUCCGAUUCAUCAUCAUCAUCAUCACUUUCGUCAUUUUCUUCAGCUUCGUCUCCCUGGGAGCCAUUAUGAUCUUUUGCACACAGUGCUGCAACAGGUGAAGAGUGAGCUGGAAAUUCAAGAUCAUUGCAAUCAGGUAUCUUCUGCCCAUUAUGGUAAGCACACAUCUCUCUAUAAAACAAAUGUUUUGAGUUAAGUAUCUUUUUCACCGUGUCCUUGGCCUUGGCAGAAAGCUGUGGCAUGGAGUCCAUUAGAACCGGAUUUUCCACCACAGCACAAGAAGUACCCCUCCCAAGAAUAUCAUUCAAUUUCUUGUACCUCUUGUUCAAAUCAUUAAACUUAUCCUCACACUGCUGAGGUGAGACAUGACAACCGUUACUCAUCAUUAUUCGCGAUACUGUUUUCCAUUUACCCUUUUUCUGAAGGCAAGCAGAUUUUCUCUUCAACCCCACUCCUGGACCUUCCAAACUACCGUCAUCUCCAACACAUGCAACUACUUGUAUAAGAAGCCUAACAACAUUAUCAGUCCAUUUCAUUCUCUGCCAUGGAGAUCCCUUCUUCCCCUGUGCCCCACCGUUGUUUUCACCAUUUCCAUCCUCAUUAAAGCUAGGCUCAUCCUCGUCACUCGUAUUGCUAUUAGGAUUAUUACUAGUAUUCACAACAUUACUCGGCCCAACUGCUUUAUCCUUCCCAUAAGCCAUACAACCUUGUGCAUCCAUCAAACCAACUGUUUUUUCGUGUUCAAGCCCCAAUUUUGCACUCACCGAUGAUUGAACAUUAUUGUGAUUCAUCUGAUGACCAUGAACUGCAUUAUUACUCAUUGGUUCAGGUUGUUGCAGCAUAUUCAUCCCCAAAAACCCACCAUUAUACCCAGAUAAAAAACCACCACCCAUACCAGAACUAUUCAUUUUUCCAAAACCAAUUUGUAACUUCCCAGAACUGAAAAUCCCAAUUUCACAAAUCACAACCAAAAAAUCAGCCCUUAAAUCAUUUUCCCUUUCCUAAAAACACAUCCUUGAAACUCCCAAAAUACUAAACUAAAAAAAAAAAACCAACUUCACAACCAAAAAUCAGCCCUCAAAUCCUUUUACCCUGUCCUAAAAACACAUUCUUGUAACUCCAAAAAUACUAAACUUCAAACAAAAACAGCUAUCUCCCACAAUUCAUCAUAAUCCAACAUACCAACAACUGAAUCAGCUCAAUCCAACAAACCCCAAACAUAAAAACAUCAUAAAAAUUAAAUCUUGAAACAACUGAUUCAGAUACACUGUAUGAACCAUAAGUUAUUACCCAUGAAAAAUUCAGCACCAGCUUUGCUCAAUAAGUGUAUAUACAAAGAACCCAUGUUGGGGCUUACAUAAAUCCUGUCAAAAUCAAAUCUUUAACAUACCUAAAACAGGUAAAAACAAAUUCCAAAGACAAGAGUAGCAAUAAACUGAAACUUAGAUAAAGUUAUUACAAUUUUUACCUCUUCAGUGAUCUGACUAUGAAUUCUUGAAGGAGAGAGAUGGAGGGGGAGAGAGAGAUGGGGGAGGGAGGGAGAGAGAGAGGGGCUUAAAGGGCAAUGGGUCCAAUAGUAUAAAGGUAAAUUGGGGAAGAAGAAUAUUUAUUAAGUACUGUUUUGGGAGCUGCUAAAUCAGCAAAUCUACCAAUGGAAAGUGGCUUUGUCAAAUAAUCCCUAGUUUUUAAUUUGUUUGUGUUGUUUGAACUUAAUACAAAGUUUUAAAAAAAAAAGUAAUCCUUUGUCUCAAUUUAUGUGGCCAUUUUUCAGUUUUUUAAAAGUUAAACCGUUUAAAUUUGAUUGAAAAUUUAUGCGUAGAAUCUUCAAUUCUUUUGAAAUGAAAUUUAUAUAUUUGUAAACUACGUAAAAAGUAUCAUAAGUCACAAUAAUUGAUAAUUCAAAAUAAUUAAAAGAUAUAUGAAAAAUUUACGGAUCAGGAAUUGAAUUGUUUGAAUCUCGAAAUCCGAAAAGUAUCACAAUUGGGAAGAAGGGAAUAAAAUAAAAUUGUUGAAUAUGUUACGUCAAAAAUUAAAAAUUAUUGAAUUAUCAAAAUAAGAAAAACAUAUUCCUUUUGAAAUAUAUUAAAACGAAAAGUAGGAUGAGCAAAUUAAAAUAAAUAAUACAUUUUUGUUUUCUACAUAUUAUUUUUGGUUAAUUAUUUAUACCCUCUUUAGUUUAUGGGUAAAUGGUAAUUAUAGGGCCUUCCUAGUUCCCAUUUGUUCUUCAUAAAAAGGGAUCAUUUGGUUCAAGAUCAGAUAUUCAAGAAUUCUAAUAAAAAGUAUAUAUUGGAUAAUCAAUAUUGCCUUUUAUAUGGAAUAAUUAUAUAGAGAUAUUAAUUUUUUUUUUAAAAACUAUACUGAUUUUAGUUAAUAGCUUUAAUGAAAUAUGACAUUGAAAACUAUGAAUAUCAUUUACUAGGUCGUCAUGAAUGGACCAAUAAAAUUUGAGUUCAAACAAUGUCUAUCAAAUAUAUUUCGGAAGAUUGGUGGACUAAUAUACAAGAAAAGCUAAUCUUGAAUUCUUGCUUCGUGACCCAUAAACUCUAAAAAAACGACAUGUGCCCCCGAAAAAACUAUGAGUCUCAUUUACUAGGUCGUCAAGAAUGGAUCCACAAAAUUUAAGUUCAAACAGAGUUGGUCUCACAUAUUCCAAAAAAUAAUGAACUAAUACACACGAAAAGUCGAAACAAUCAUGAAUUCCUGUUUCGUGACCCAUAAACUCUUUAAAAAAAUAAGUGAUGUCUACUCUUGAAAAACAAUGAGUAUUAUUUACUAGGUUCAGUUUCGAAAUUUAUAUCGAAAUAAUUCACCUAAUACCUUGAACCAAACGACCCCUUACCCAUAAAGUUGUUGGAGGUUUUAGUCUCAUUAUAAAACUUAGCUUAUAGUUCAAUUUAAAUGUCUUGAUUUUAACCCUCUAAGAAUUGUUUCACCAUAUGAUCAGCUUGGCAUGUGCUUAUCUAUUAUUAUCAUUAAACAUGCUAGCUUUGAUGUUUUCUUUGCUCAUGAAAUUUGAUGUCUUUAAGGAUCUUAAUUAAGCUUUACACGAAGGCAAAAAACUUGACAAGAUCUAGAAUCGGAGUUAUAAACUGACUAAAUGACUAGAUUCUCCUGGAACGCUAGCUAAGCUAAUCGUCUUGUACUUGAUGCAUUCAUCUUAUUGGCUACGUAUCGUAUAAGACCUUGUUAUACUGGGGUUCAAGAAAGUUUAUUGAACAUUUGCAGGUUGUAGAAUUCAUGUUCUUCAUACGUGCUGGUCUCAUUGAUAUCAUUGUGACCAAGUUUGUCAUGUUCCAAUCUGGUGGACAUGGCAUUCUUUCAGAUGUUGCAUAUCUAAAUACAAUAACUACGUCUCAGUCCUAUACAAGUUAGAAUCGACUUAUAAACCACUCACUUCUUUAUUUAAGCUCAUUCAUAUCAUACGUGUCUCGAUGUGUGCAAAUUUACAUGACAUGUAAAACGUCACAUACAAAAUUGUGUUCUUCAAGCCUUCUGUGUUUACAAGGAUCACUUUGCACAUUUUCUGGUAAUAUAAUCUCACAGUCCUCAAGGACAACGUUUCUGUGAAAUCGAACAGAUAGUGUCUUCAACAAGGCUUAUAUUCACAAUUUUCCAGCAGCAGCAAAAGUAAGUUCAUUGGUGAAGUCAUUCAAGAUGAAGCAUAGAAUGUCUACACAAUCAAACUGCAAGGGUAAAGUAUUUUUUUAAAGUAAAAUUUCCAUCUAGGUAACAUUCUCACAAAGAAGUUCUAGGAUAACUUAGUUAUUGCAUCUACUAUAGCUUACAAAAAGUUCAGAAAGAACGAUUCAUGAUCGGUGUCCUCUUCUCCAUAUGAUGACAUUCGAAUUGCCAACAAGUGUUCAUCGUAAACUCACCUCUCACGUUUAAAGGAGGGGUCGGAUGCUAGCACUGAAGAAGCCUAAUGUAAAGUUUGAUUGCGAAAUCAUGCUGAAAUGCCUCUGGAUUCAGCUUCAAGGUACUUGCACAUCCGUUCCAUUACUUCUCUUCCCUUCGCACUGUUCGCCUGAAACUUGUCCACGCACUUCUGUUCUAUUUUCUCUGCCAUUGAAGCCAGUGCUGAUAAGGGCUUGAUCCUGAUACUCGUUUCCUGCUUGCAGACGGUCCAUAACUUUGGAUUAUCUGGAUGAGGGUCAUAUCUGAUUUUCUCCUCCACUUCAAUGUACUUCUCCAGACUAAUGUUUCGAGUGGAGAGCUGCAUGGACUGAGAUUGGGCAUCGACAACAGUUGAUUCUACACAGUGGCAGAUGUCUUGACGAAUGAUUUUGCGGAGGAACCAUGGUCCUGGUGCAUGGAUAGUUAUGGCACGAGUCGUAUAAAGCUUCCCUGAGCUGGAAUCAAGCUUGUGGUUCAAUGUGUCAACUUCGAGGAUAUGCGAUAGAAUGCGCUUGUUCUCGGGAUCAGCAAACUUGCGCCAGGAUGCAGAAGUUACUCUUUCCCAUGGGUGCUUAUAUGUGUGCUCUUGUGAAUACGCUCUGACCAUCUCGUAACUUCUGAUUUUCCAAACCUGAACAAUAGAAACAGUAAGCAAAUCAGGCAAACAAAUGUCUAUUGACAAUGUGAGUUAGCAACAAAUGAAUCUAAAUGUUUUGAGCUCAAUAUUUGCUUAAACACCAUUCUACCAACACAUUUGCAUAAAAGUACCCAAUCUUUGAAUCAAGUAUAUUAUUGCCACAGGAUUUUCCAAAACUACAGUUUUACGAUUUUAGGAAAAUAUGACCACUGAUAUGUUUUUUAAUUUUUGAUAGCCGUGGUGUUGUGUUUGGGCCAGCUUGUGCGCACCUCGGCUAAUUCCACAUAUGACAGUUGAUAUACUCUCUAGAAGAAGUUGAAGAUCUUGUAACCCAUCUGUUUAUAGUAUAUACAAGAGACAUAUCAAACCGAAUAAACAGGAACUUAUUUUUAGCAAGUUGAAACUUGAAUGGCAACAGCUCUUUUGGCUGCAACAUCACUCAACCUUUAUUCCAUGUUGUUUAACACUAAAUGUGCAUUAACUUGCAAAGUAUUCCAAAUAUAUAGAGAAAGAGAACUCAUGGAGUUCCCAAUUAACCAGCUUGAGUAUGUAUAAUCUAAUUCAUUUGCAUGCACAAAAUCAGUUCCCAUCCCACCAAAAAAACAAAAGAUUUGGCAAAACAAAUAGAGACAUCAUAGAGGGGUCCGUCACCAAUCCAGCUUCUUAGGUGUAUACUCUUAUAGACAACUAAAUCACCUCAACUGAAGUUCGAAACUAGUAAUUCUCCUGAAAGUCCACGGACCCUUCCUCCCUCAUUCUUUUCUACUCUCUCCCACAACAGUGGAUAUCCACUUAUUCGUCUUUAAAGAACAAAAAAAUAUCCUCCCAUUGAAAAGGGAAUGUGCCUUUCGCACCAUUAGAGAAUUUGUGGAGGAUCAACGAAUUAGGUACAUAAGCCCCUCUAUCUGUACCAUCACUCAUAGCCUUGCAGUAACAUUUUAUCAAAAGCAACAUACUGCUUUGAAUGAAACUCAAUUACCUUUUCAGGUGAGUCACACACUCGGUGAUCCCAUGUCCAGGCUUCAGGCAAGAAGUAUUUCUCAACUGAUGACAAAUUAUGUGCUAUAACAUUCGCAUAAGUACACAUUUGAAUGUAUCUAAACUAACUUGGUUUAUUCAACUUGAUAAUCAGUGAUUAAAAAGAAUGUGUGUUAGUGUGUAUGUAUGAGAGGUAGCACCUAGAAACCAAAAGAGGGUUCUUAAAGAUAUUCAUACCCCAUAUCAAGACACUAGAAGAAAUUUAAUUGCACGCCAAUUUUUCAGAAUACUACAUUACAGAAGCUCAAGCAGCUAUUUGAUGUAAACAUAAAGCUCUAAAAGGCUGUGGAGAAUGAUUUGAUUCCACAAAUCAAUCUCAGUGGCAAAAAUAAACUCCAAAGAAACAAUUUAGUUUUCAUACAUCCUAUAAGCAAAAUUAAUCAUUUGACAUCAGCAUUCCAGCAAGUACAAAGUACAAACCAAAGAUCACAUUCAAUGAAGGAACCUGGCGUGUUCUAAAAAAGCACACAUUGGUAACAAAACACUCAAAGAAAUGCAAAUAGACAAUCUUUUUUUUAUAACUGAGAAAUCCCCAAGGGAGUGUUACACAAUUCGAAUCUCAGAGGAUAAUGGGCCCACCCCUCUACACCAAGGUUCGAACCUGUGAUAUGCACCUAAUCCACACAUCACAAGAAGCGAUCUUACCACUAGACAAAGACCUGGGGGCUCCAAGACAAUCUUUUUAAGUAGAAUUUCUUUACAGCAGCUGGAAUAGCCACUUCAUCUAAAUCAUGCCUCCACAAAUCUAAUGAUACCAGCCGCCAAGAUGAAUUAAUGAUAAAAUUUUACCAAGAAAUCCAAAGUGCUUCAAUAAACCGCAAAAGUACAAAGUAAAAAUCAAAAAUUUCUCCACAAAGUGUUCUAAAAAAUCGCACACCCGCAACAAGACAGACAAAGAAACACAAACACAAGCCAACCUUCUACACCAACUGACAUAGCUACUUCAUCAAAAUCAUGCUUCCAGAAAUCUGAUAAUUCCAGCCGCCAAGGCAUCGAAUAAGCACUUUGAUUGAUAUAAGAAUCUAAACUCGAGCAAGAACACAAAUCAAAUAUCAAACGAAAUCUUAGUAACUCAAUUGGUUGACUACCUC